CUACGGGUCGCUCCAGUGAGGAAUAUUGCACAAUGGGGGGAACCCUGAUGCAGCAACGCCGCGUGGAGGAUGACGCAUUUCGGUGUGUAAACUCCUUUUAUAUGUCAAGAAAAUGACGGUAGCAUAUGAAUAAGCACCGGCUAACUCCGUGCCAGCAGCGCGCGGUAAUACGGAGGGUGCAAGCGUUACUCGGAAUCACUGGGCGUAAAGGAAGCGUAGGCGGGUUGGAAAGUCAGGUGUGAAAUCCUACAGCUUAACUGUAGAACUGCACUUGAAACUUCUAAUCUAGAGUAUGGGAGGGGGAGAUGGAAUUAGUGGUGUAGGGGUAAAAUCCGUAGAUAUCACUAGGAAUACCUAAAGCGAAGGCGAUCUCCUGGAACAUUACUGACGCUAAGGCGUGAAAGCGUGGGGAGCAAACAGGAUUAGAUACCCGGGUAGUC
rnacentral:rRNA from 1 species